rnacentral:rRNA from 1 species
GACGAACGCUGGCGGCGUGCUUAACACAUGCAAGUCGAACGGAAAGGCCCUGCUUUUGUGGGGUGCUCGAGUGGCGAACGGGUGAGUAACACGUGAGUAACCUGCCCUUGACUUUGGGAUAACUUCAGGAAACUGGGGCUAAUACCGGAUAGGAGCUCCUGCUGCAUGGUGGGGGUUGGAAAGUUUCGGCGGUUGGGGAUGGACUCGCGGCUUAUCAGCUUGUUGGUGGGGUAGUGGCUUACCAAGGCUUUGACGGGUAGCCGGCCUGAGGGGGUGACCGGCCAAAUUGGGAUGGGGAAGGGGCCAGGGCCGCAGGGGGGGGCAGGGGGGGGGAAUUUUGCAAGAGGGGCGGAGGCUUUGGGGAAAAACGCCGGGUGGGGGAUGACGGCUUUCGGGUUGUAAACCGUUUGCGCCUGUACCGAGGCGGGAGGGAGGGAAAUGGGGAAAGAAGCCCGGGCAAAUACGGG